UACAGAGGUCUCAAGCGUUGUUCGGAUUCAUUGGGCGUAAAGGGUGCGUAGGUGGCGGGGCAAGUCAGGUGUGAAAUCUCGGGGCUCAACCCCGAAACUGCACUUGAUACUGCUUUGCUCGAGUACUGGAGAGGAGACUGGAAUUUACGGUGUAGCAGUGAAAUGCGUAGAUAUCGUAAGGAAGACCAGUGCGGAAGGCGGGUCUCUGGACAGUUCCUGACGCUGAGGCACGAAGGCCAGGGGAGCAAACGGG
rnacentral:rRNA from 1 species